CGCCUGCGGUUCUCCUCCUCCCAAUACCGCAGGCACCCUAACGACGCUCGCCGGAUCCUCCCCCGGCGGGCGUUGUUG
rnacentral:sRNA from 19 species